CGGGCGCCUCACCACCUGUCUCUCCACUGGGGUUUGUCAAGUGUUUUUCUCAUGCUCAGAGAGACACUUGGCUUUUUGUGUCUGUAAAGUGAUCACAUUUCUGGCACCUGAGGAGGGAGCUGAGCACACAGAUUGCCAGGACAGCAGCAGCACCAGAGGACCAUCCUGGACAAUGGUGACAAACAGCUUCUCUUUCUCUGAAGUCCUUCUCAUUGUAAAAAAUUCCUUCACACAGAGCAUGGUGCAGUCUCAGCUUCCAGGGCCUUCCCUCUGGUUUCUAAGGCACUUUCCUUCACCUCUGGUCACUGCUCACCGACCAGUCAUGCCUGCUGUCCUUGAUGGAACCACCAAGAGCCAGUCUUUAAUAAGCAUAGAAGACUUUGAAAAUGGAGUCUGACCCCACAGAAGAGCAGUCACUGGGAAACAGAGACCAGAGACCAUCGGCACUGUGAGGGAUCCACAGGAGGUGCACCCUAGGAAACCAGACUGUGACUAUUGCUGAGUCUUUUCACUCAUAAAAGACAGACAUCGCAGACCUGUGAGGCUCCAGGUGUCAUAGGUGUUGAGGAAACCUGCAAUCCAGUGUCCCGUUAUGACAGGGUCGUGGGAUGGCUGUGGCUGGUGCACUGACUGCGGUUGCCACAACAUCAGUCACUGUUUGGAGUAUUAUCUGUCCAAAGCAUUGAGAAGCAUGGCAGAGCCCCACGGGUCGGAAGAGAACUACCCCAAGCACCACACAAGGUGUUGCUAAGUGACGGUCUCAGAAGGGAAGGCCUUCAAGCAGUGAUGGGGUGUGAGGAUCCUUGUCUCAUGAAUGGGGUUGACGUCCUUUUAGAAGAAACCACAUAGUGUUUGGCUGGCUGCUGUCUCACCCUUUACCUUCUGUCACUCGAGAAUGUGGCAAACAGCCCUCACCAGACCAGCACCAUGACCAGGGACUUCCAAGCAGUAACUCACCAGACGCCAGCACUGUGCCUGGGACUUCCAAACAGCUCUCAUCAGACUCUAGAACUGUGACUGGGGACUUCUGUUCUCCAGAACUGUGAGAAAGGAGUUUCUCAUUUUUUCUGUAAAUUACCCUGUCGAUUACAGCAACAGAAACCA